GUGCCUUCGGGAACUGUGAGACAGGUGCUGCAUGGCUGUCGUCAGCUCGUGUUGUGAAAUGUUGGGUUAAGUCCCGCAACGAGCGCAACCCUUAUCCUUUGUUGCCAGCGGUUAGGCCGGGAACUCAAAGGAGACUGCCAGUGAUAAACUGGAGGAAGGUGGGGAUGACGUCAAGUCAUCAUGGCCCUUACGACCAGGGCUACACACGUGCUACAAUGGCGCAUACAAAGAGAAGCGACCU
rnacentral:rRNA from 2 species